rnacentral:rRNA from 1 species
CCUACGGGGGGCUGCAGUGAGGAAUAUUGGACAAUGGGCGCAAGCCUGAUCCAGCCAUGCCGCGUGCAGGAUGACGGUCCUAUGGAUUGUAAACUGCUUUUGCACAGGAAGAAACACCCCCUCGUGAGGGGGCUUGACGGUACUGUGAGAAUAAGGAUCGGCUAACUCCGUGCCAGCAGCCGCGGUAAUACGGAGGAUCCAAGCGUUAUCCGGAAUCAUUGGGUUUAAAGGGUCCGUAGGCGGUUUAGUAAGUCAGUGGUGAAAGCCCAUCGCUCAACGGUGGAACGGCCAUUGAUACUGCUAGACUUGAAUUAUUAGGAAGUAACUAGAAUAUGUAGUGUAGCGGUGAAAUGCUUAGAGAUUACAUGGAAUACCAAUUGCGAAGGCAGGUUACUACUAAUGGAUUGACGCUGAUGGACGAAAGCGUGGGUAGCGAACAGGAUUAGAUACCCUAGUAGUC